rnacentral:rRNA from 1 species
AUGAACGCUAGCUACAGGCUUAACACAUGCAAGUCGAGGGGCAGCAUGAACUUAGCUUGCUAAGUUUGAUGGCGACCGGCGCACGGGUGAGUAACACGUAUCCAACCUGCCGAUGACUCGGGGAUAGCCUUUCGAAAGAAAGAUUAAUACCCGAUGGCAUAGUUCUUCCGCAUGGUAGAACUAUUAAAGAAUUUCGGUCAUCGAUGGGGAUGCGUUCCAUUAGGUUGUUGGCGGGGUAACGGCCCACCAAGCCUUCGAUGGAUAGGGGUUCUGAGAGGAAGGUCCCCCACAUUGGAACUGAGACACGGUCCAAACUCCUACGGGAGGCAGCAGUGAGGAAUAUUGGUCAAUGGACGAGAGUCUGAACCAGCCAAGUAGCGUGAAGGAUGACUGCCCUAUGGGUUGUAAACUUCUUUUAUACGGGAAUAAAGUGAGGCACGUGUGCCUUUUUGUAUGUACCGUAUGAAUAAGGAUCGGCUAACUCCGUGCCAGCAGCCGCGGUAAUACGGAGGAUCCGAGCGUUAUCCGGAUUUAUUGGGUUUAAAGGGAGCGUAGGCGGACGCUUAAGUCAGUUGUGAAAGUUUGCGGCUCAACCGUAAAAUUGCAGUUGAUACUGGGUGUCUUGAGUACAGUAGAGGCAGGCGGAAUUCGUGGUGUAGCGGUGAAAUGCUUAGAUAUCACGAAGAACUCCGAUUGCGAAGGCAGCUUGCUGGACUGUAACUGACGCUGAUGCUCGAAAGUGUGGGUAUCAAACAGGAUUAGAUACCCUGGUAGUCCACGCCGUAAACGAUGUCGACUUGGAGGUUGUGCCCUUGAGGCGUGGCUUCCGGAGCUAACGCGUUAAGUCGACCGCCUGGGGAGUACGGCCGCAAGGUUGAAACUCAAAGGAAUUGACGGGGGCCCGCACAAGCGGAGGAACAUGUGGUUUAAUUCGAUGAUACGCGAGGAACCUUACCCGGGCUUGAAUUGCAACUGAAUGAUGUGGAGACAUGUCAGCCGCAAGGCAGUUGUGAAGGUGCUGCAUGGUUGUCGUCAGCUCGUGCCGUGAGGUUUCGGCUUAAGUGCCAUAACGAGCGCAACCCUUAUCGAUAGUUACCAUCAGGUUAUGCUGGGGACUCUGUCGAGACUGCCGUCGUAAGAUGUGAGGAAGGUGGGGAUGACGUCAAAUCAGCACGGCCCUUACGUCCGGGGCUACACACGUGUUACAAUGGGGGGUACAGAAGGCAGCUACACGGCGACGUGAUGCUAAUCCCGAAAGCCUCUCUCAGUUCGGAUUGGAGUCUGCAACCCGACUCCAUGAAGCUGGAUUCGCUAGUAAUCGCGCAUCAGCCACGGCGCGGUGAAUACGUUCCCGGGCCUUGUACACACCGCCCGUCACACCAUGGGAGUUGGGAAUGCCCGAAGCCAGUGACCUAACCGAAAGGAAGGAGCUGUCGAAGGCAGGCUCGAUAACUGGGGUG